CAGGACGAACGCUGGCGGCGUGCUUAACACAUGCAAGUCGAACGGUGACGAGGAGCUUGCUCCUCCGAUCAGUGGCGAACGGGUGAGUAACACGUGAGUAACCUGCCCCCAGACUCUGGAAUAACAGUUGGAAACAGCUGCUAAUACCGGAUACGAGACGGAGAGGCAUCUCUACCGUCUGGAAAGUUUUUCGGCUAUCACUUACAGAGUGGGCCCCGCGGCGCAUUAGCUAGUUGGUGAGGUAACGGCUCACCAAGGCAACGAUGCGUAGCCGACCUGAGAGGGUGAUCGGCCACACUGGGACUGAGACACGGCCCAGACUCCUACGGGAGGCAGCAGUAGGGAAUCUUCCGCAAUGGACGAAAGUCUGACGGAGCAACGCCGCGUGAGUGAUGAAGGUUUUCGGAUCGUAAAACUCUGUUGUUAGGGAAGAACAAGUGCCGUUCGAAAGGGCGGCACCUUGACGGUACCUAACGAGAAAGCCACGGCUAACUACGUG
rnacentral:rRNA from 1 species